UACUGAAAUUUUAACUCAUAGCCCAAAA
rnacentral:piRNA from 1 species